UACGUAGGGUGCGAGCGUUAAUCGGAAUUACUGGGCGUAAAGCGUGCGCAGGCGGUGAUGUAAGACAGGUGUGAAAUCCCCGGGCUUAACCUGGGAACUGCAUUUGUGACUGCAUCGCUGGAGUGCGGCAGAGGGGGAUGGAAUUCCGCGUGUAGCAGUGAAAUGCGUAGAUAUGCGGAGGAACACCGAUGGCGAAGGCAAUCCCCUGGGCCUGCACUGACGCUCAUGCACGAAAGCGUGGGGAGCAAACGGG
rnacentral:rRNA from 1 species